rnacentral:lncRNA from 1 species
AGCAGCCGCGCCAGCCUCAUGCCGAGUCCCGCUAGAGAAGCCACAGCCAGUACGCCAGGUUUCCCCGCGCCUCUGCCGAGUGGGUUGAAGGCAAAUACUUGAAGUUGCAAUCGAAGGUCAAGAAAAUGGAAUCAAGAGGUCACAAUCCUUCUCUGAUGAUGGCUUAGAAAGCUGGAAGACACUCAACAUUGAAUCCUGGGGCUCUGUGCCAUGCUUGCUAGGAGAAACAGCCACCAUGAGUCCAUCUUUCAGAUCUCAAGUGAACAGUCAUUCUCCAGCUGGGAUUGAGAACAAGGGGAAGCUGGCCAUAGAGCCAGGUGACCAAAGAUGGAAGACAAAGGGUGGGCUGUGAUUCCCAGAGCUCCAAGCCUUGUUCUGUCUUGUCACACCAACUGUUACUGAUGAACAGGACAGAGAGUCACUGUGAUUGCCUACUUUGAAAUGGUUCAGAGCCAGUCACUGCCUUUCCUACAGGCAUAUACCAAAUCUACAUUCACCACAAAAACUGGGCUUGUGAAAGCAUGUGAGAACUUUUGGCUGAUGAAUACAAGAUACGCUCAUUCAUUCUCUUCAUUGCUAUGAAAUGAGUUUUUCCACAACCUCCUGCAGAACCUCAACACAUCACUAGGUGGCAACAUCCCUACACCAUAUCGGUUUAGAAACCACGGUUAGGAGGAGCAGCAAAACACGCGGCAUCCCAGUAUGAUUCAGAAGUAAAGUUUACAAUCUUUGAGGCCUGGCUGACUCAUGGAACAACUAGGACAAGAAACAAAGACAAAGAACACACACCUGACUGGACAGAGAUAAACCAAGAGCUGAGAGUUUUGGAAACAAGGCUGGAGCUGAGGAAAAGGACUGGGAACACGAACCUGUACAAACAACAAAUUCUUACAACAGAAAACAAGCCACUCCUGGCCAUCAAGAAACCCACAAAUCUCAGAAGCAAAAGCAAAACAAAUGAAAAUACAAACCAAAUAGUCUCUAUUACCUUCAUGCCUGUUGGGUCCCAAUAAAGGAAUCAUUCCAAUAAA